CGCAUAAGUAUUGCCUCAGUACGGCGAGUGAAGCGGCAAAAGCUCAAAUUUUAAAGCUGGCACCUUCGGUGUCCGCGUUGUAAUUUUGUGAGGCAUCUCCGGGUAGGGCGCCGGCCUAAGUUCCUUGGAACAGGACGUCAUAGAGGGUGAGAAUCCCGUGCUUGGCUGGCUGUCCCCGUCCAUGUGAGGUGUCUUCGACGAGUCGAGUUGUUUGGGAAUGCAGCUCAAAAUGGGUGGUAAAUUUCAUCUAAAGCUAAAUAUUGGUGGGAGACCGAUAGCGCACAAGUAGAGUGAUCGAAAGAUGAAAAGCACUUUGAAAAUAGAGUUAAAAAGUACGUGAAAUUGUUGAAAGGGAAGCGCUUGAGACCAGACUUCGGUGGGGGGUGAUCAGCUGUCCUUCUGGGCGGUGCACUUGCUCCCCUCCGGGCCAGCAUCGGUUGGGGCGGCGGGAUAAAGAUCCCGGGAAUGUGGCUCCUUUCGGGGAGUGUUAUAGCCCGGGUGAAUGCCGCCAGUUCCGACCGAGGACCGCGCCUUCGGGCUAGGAUGCUUGGCAUAAUGGUCUUCAGCGACCCGUCUUGAACCCACGGACCA
rnacentral:rRNA from 1 species